CAUGCGCACAUGCAGCCAAGGGCUCCUGGUGGGGGCACCACCCUGGGCUCUGCUGAAACCAGGCCCUGACUCCUACCCAGUGUGAGCAGCAGCUCUGACACGGUGGCUUCAUUUCCACAGCUCCCUGAGCGGCCUCCCAACAGUCCUGAGAGAAACCACCAUCCAGACUCUUGCCACUGUUUCUCCCCCUCCAUCUGCCUCCCCACGUGGCCCUUCAUGGAAGGUCAUGCCUCCUAUUCCUCUGGAUCCUUUUCCUUACAGAGGCCACUGACAUUUAAUGGACAGGAGUCCAGGGAUACCACAACCCCUGCCCCACACAGGACAGUUCCACUGCCCCUGUGAUUUUAAAUACCCCUGGAUAUUCCUGCAAGGAAAAGCCUGAGACUAGGGAGUUCCGGUUGUGGCUCAGCGAAUUACAAACCCAACUAGUAUCCAUGAGGAUGCGGCUCGUGGGGUAGGCCAGCAGCUACAGCUCCAAUUAGACCCCUAGCCUGGGAACCUCCAUAUGCUGUGGACGAGGCCCUAAAAAGAAAAACAAAAAACAACAACGGUGGGUCAAACCCAACUCCAUAGAAUCCCAAAGUAUCUGUUGUUGCAGGUGUUAAUGUCCAUUGAAUACUUUUUAUCCCGGUGUCCACUCCACGUCUGUUCUUUCUCUUCUCUUUUGUCUUGCAUAGGAUGGCUUCUGACCAUCUUGCUGCUUU